rnacentral:rRNA from 1 species
GACGAGCUGGCGGCGUGGAUUAGGCAUGCAAGUCGAACGGUAGGAUACCUUCGGGUAUCUGAGAGUGGCGAACGGGUGAGUAACACGUAGGUGAUCUACCCUCAAGAUUGGGACAACCCAGGGAAACUUGGGCUAAUACCGGAUGAAAGCAGCAGUGAUGUUGUUUGAAAGGUGGCGUAAGCUGCCGUUUGGGGAUGAGCCUGCGCUCUAUUAGUUAGUUGGCGGGGUAAAGGCCCACCAAGGCGAUGAUAGAUAGGCGGCCUUAACGGGUGGUCGCCCACACUGGGAUUGAGAUACGGCCCAGACUCCUACGGGAGGCAGCAGUCGAGAAUAGUCUACAAUGGCCGAAAGGCUGAUAGUGCGACGCCGCGUGAACGAAGAAGCCCUUCGGGGUGUAAAGUUCUUUUAUAUGUGAGCAGUGCUUUCUAUGUGAACAGCAUGGGGAGAGAGAUAUUAGCAUAUGAAUAAGCAACGGCUAACUCCGUG